GGGUUGUGAGGUUAAGCGACUAAGCGUACACGGUGGAUGCCCUGGCAGUCAGAGGCGAUGAAGGACGUGCUAAUCUGCGAUAAGCGCCGGUAAGGUGAUAUGAACCGUUAUAACCGGCGAUUUCCGAAUGGGGAAACCCAGUGUGACUCGUCACACUAUCAUUAACUGAAUCCAUAGGUUAAUGAGGCGAACCGGGGGAACUGAAACAUCUAAGUACCCCGAGGAAAAGAAAUCAACCGAGAUUCCCCCAGUAGCGGCGAGCGAACGGGGAGGAGCCCAGAGCCUGAAUCAGCAUGUGUGUUAGUGGAAGCGUCUGGAAAGGCGCGCGAUACAGGGUGACAGCCCCGUACACAAAAGCGCAUGUGCUGUGAGCUCGAUGAGUAGGGCGGGACACGUGGUAUCCUGUCUGAAUAUGGGGGGACCAUCCUCCAAGGCUAAAUACUCCUGACUGACCGAUAGUGAACCAGUACCGUGAGGGAAAGGCGAAAAGAACCCCGGCGAGGGGAGUGAAAAAGAACCUGAAACCGUGUACGUACAAGCAGUGGGAGCACAGGUUUACCUGUGUGACUGCGUACCUUUUGUAUAAUGGGUCAGCGACUUAUAUUCUGUAGCAAGGUUAACCGCAUAGGGGAGCCGCAGGGAAACCGAGUCUUAACCGGGCGUUAAGUUGCAGGGUAUAGACCCGAAACCCGGUGAUCUAGCCAUGGGCAGGUUGAAGGUUGGGUAACACUAACUGGAGGACCGAACCGACUAAUGUUGAAAAAUUAGCGGAUGACCUGUGGCUGGGGGUGAAAGGCCAAUCAAACCGGGAGAUAGCUGGUUCUCCCCGAAAGCUAUUUAGGUAGCGCCUCGUGAAUUCAUCUCCGGGGGUAGAGCACUGUUUCGGCUAGGGGGCCAUCCCGGCUUACCAACCCGAUGCAAACUGCGAAUACCGGAGAAUGUUAUCACGGGAGACACACGGCGGGUGCUAACGUCCGUCGUGAAGAGGGAAACAACCCAGACCGCCAGCUAAGGUCCCAAAGUCAUGGUUAAGUGGGAAACGAUGUGGGAAGGCCCAGACAGCCAGGAUGUUGGCUUAGAAGCAGCCAUCAUUUAAAGAAAGCGUAAUAGCUCACUGGUCGAGUCGGCCUGCGCGGAAGAUGUAACGGGGCUAAACCAUGCACCGAAGCUGCGGCAGCGAACGUAUCACCCAAGACAACUUUGCGGAGUUGACGAUUGACGGAGCGAAGCGACGUCAAAGCGUUCAUUAAAGUCGAGUUGGCUUAGGGAUACGUUCGUUGGGUAGGGGAGCGUUCUGUAAGCCUGUGAAGGUGUGCUGUGAGGCAUGCUGGAGGUAUCAGAAGUGCGAAUGCUGACAUAAGUAACGAUAAAGCGGGUGAAAAGCCCGCUCGCCGGAAGACCAAGGGUUCCUGUCCAACGUUAAUCGGGGCAGGGUGAGUCGACCCCUAAGGCGAGGCCGAAAGGCGUAGUCGAUGGGAAACGGGUUAAUAUUCCCGUACUUGGUGUUACUGCGAAGGGGGGACGGAGAAGGCUAUGUUGGCCGGGCGACGGUUGUCCCGGUUUAAGCGUGUAGGUGUGUGUUCCAGGUAAAUCCGGUUCACUUUAACACUGAGGCGUGACGACGAGGCACUACGGUGCUGAAGCAACAAAUGCCCUGCUUCCAGGAAAAGCCUCUAAGCAUCAGGUAACAUCAAAUCGUACCCCAAACCGACACAGGUGGUCAGGUAGAGAAUACCAAGGCGCUUGAGAGAACUCGGGUGAAGGAACUAGGCAAAAUGGUGCCGUAACUUCGGGAGAAGGCACGCUGACAUGUAGGUGAAGUGAUUUACUCAUGGAGCUGAAGUCAGUCGAAGAUACCAGCUGGCUGCAACUGUUUAUUAAAAACACAGCACUGUGCAAACACGAAAGUGGACGUAUACGGUGUGACGCCUGCCCGGUGCCGGAAGGUUAAUUGAUGGGGUCAGCGCAAGCGAAGCUCCUGAUCGAAGCCCCGGUAAACGGCGGCCGUAACUAUAACGGUCCUAAGGUAGCGAAAUUCCUUGUCGGGUAAGUUCCGACCUGCACGAAUGGCGUAAUGAUGGCCAGGCUGUCUCCACCCGAGACUCAGUGAAAUUGAACUCGCUGUGAAGAUGCAGUGUACCCGCGGCAAGACGGAAAGACCCCGUGAACCUUUACUAUAGCUUGACACUGAACAUUGAGCCUUGAUGUGUAGGAUAGGUGGGAGGCUUUGAAGUGUGGACGCCAGUCUGCAUGGAGCCGACCUUGAAAUACCACCCUUUAAUGUUUGAUGUUCUAACGUGGACCCGUAAUCCGGGUUGCGGACAGUGUCUGGUGGGUAGUUUGACUGGGGCGGUCUCCUCCUAAAGAGUAACGGAGGAGCACGAAGGUUGGCUAAUCCUGGUCGGACAUCAGGAGGUUAGUGCAAUGGCAUAAGCCAGCUUGACUGCGAGCGUGACGGCGCGAGCAGGUGCGAAAGCAGGUCAUAGUGAUCCGGUGGUUCUGAAUGGAAGGGCCAUCGCUCAACGGAUAAAAGGUACUCCGGGGAUAACAGGCUGAUACCGCCCAAGAGUUCAUAUCGACGGCGGUGUUUGGCACCUCGAUGUCGGCUCAUCACAUCCUGGGGCUGAAGUAGGUCCCAAGGGUAUGGCUGUUCGCCAUUUAAAGUGGUACGCGAGCUGGGUUUAGAACGUCGUGAGACAGUUCGGUCCCUAUCUGCCGUGGGCGCUGGAGAACUGAGGGGGGCUGCUCCUAGUACGAGAGGACCGGAGUGGACGCAUCACUGGUGUUCGGGUUGUCAUGCCAAUGGCACUGCCCGGUAGCUAAAUGCGGAAGAGAUAAGUGCUGAAAGCAUCUAAGCACGAAACUUGCCCCGAGAUGAGUUCUCCCUGAGACUUUAGGUCUCCUGAAGGAACGUUGAAGACGACGACGUUGAUAGGCCGGGUGUGUAAGCGCAGCGAUGCGUUGAGCUAACCGGUACUAAUGAACCGUGAGGCUUAACCUUACAACGCCGAAG
rnacentral:rRNA from 1 species